rnacentral:rRNA from 1 species
AAUUGAGGGAAACCGGCGCGGUAUUAGACUGCAAAUCGAACGAGAUUUUUUUCUGUAGCAAUACAGGAAAAAGUCUAGUGGCGAACGGGUGCGUAACACGUGAGCAACCUGCCGUGAAGUGGGGGAUAGCUCGCCGAAAGGCGAAUUAAUACCGCAUAUGGCCAAGGAAGACAUCUUCCUGACGCCAAAGCCGGGGUAACCUGGCGCUUCUCGAGGGGCUCGCGGCCUAUCAGCUUGUUGGUGAGGUAACGGCUCACCAAGGCUAUGACGGGUAGCUGGUCUGAGAGGACGACCAGCCACACUGGAACUGAGACACGGUCCAGACACCUACGGGUGGCAGCAGUCGAGAAUUUUUCACAAUGGGGGAAACCCUGAUGGAGCGACGCCGCGUGGAGGAUGAAGGUUUUCGGAUUGUAAACUCCUGUCAUUAGAGAACAAGGCACAUGGUUUAACUGGCCGUGUGUUGAUAGUAUCUGAAGAGGAAGGGACGGCUAACUCUGUGCCAGCAGCCGCGGUAAUACAGAGGUCUCAAGCGUUGUUCGGAUUCAUUGGGCGUAAAGGGUGCGUAGGUGGCGAGGUAAGUCGGAUGUGAAAUCUCCAAGCUCAACUUGGAAACUGCAUUCGAUACUGCUUUGCUAGAGGAUUGUAGAAGGCAUUGGAAUUCACGGUGUAGCAGUGAAAUGCGUAGAUAUCGUGAGGAAGAACAGUGGCGAAGGCGAAUGCCUGGGCAUUCCUGACACUGAGGCACGAAGGCCAGGGAGCAAACGGGAUUAGAUACCCGGUAGUCUGG